rnacentral:lncRNA from 1 species
UCCCACUUGGUCGACAUAUUCUUUCACUCACAAUAAUAAGAAACAAGACACAUGGAUCAUAGCGAUAGGUCCUCUAUAAUAUCGAGUAUUAUCUUCUAUGUAUCACAAUGUAACGAGUCUCUAACCAAAUAUAACUUAAUGAAUAAACUCACAACAUUUAUGUUUAUUCAGGUUCCAAACUUAAGCGAUAUUUCUCAAAAUCAAAUGUGUACGUACACUUUAAAACUUAAAACAUGAGAAAAU